rnacentral:rRNA from 1 species
GAUGAACGCUGGCGGCGUGCCUAAUACAUGCAAGUCGAGCGAAUGGAUUAAGAGCUUGCUCUUAUGAAGUUAGCGGCGGACGGGUGAGUAACACGUGGGUAACCUGCCCAUAAGACUGGGAUAACUCCGGGAAACCGGGGCUACUACCGGAUAAUAUUUUGAAAUGCAUGGUUCAAAAUUGAAAGGCGGCUUCGGCUGUCACUUAUGAAUGGACCCGCGUCGCAUUAGCUAGUUGGUGAGGUAACGGCUCACCAAGGCAACGAUGCGUAGCCGACCUGAGAGGGUGAUCGGCCACACUGGGACUGAGACACGGCCCAGACUCCUACGGGAGGCAGCAGUAGGGAAUCUUCCGCAAUGGACGAAAGUCUGACGGAGCAACGCCGCGUGAGUGAUGAAGGCUUUCUGGUCGUAAAACUCUGUUGUUAGGGAAGAACAAGUGCUAGUUGAAUAAGCUGGCACCUUGACGGUACCUAACCAGAAAGCCACGGCUAACUACGUGCCAGCCGCCGCCGUAA